AAACCCUUACAUGCAAAUGCCAUGAAAAGGACUUUUCCAAGGCUUGUAAUGAGGCUGGGCUAACAAGAAAAAUUGGUUUUUCUGGAAUGCAAAAUCCUUGAGUUAAGAGAGCUUUCAUAAUAAUUAGCAAUUAAACACAACUCUUCUCCUCACCAACUUCACUUUUCCCAACUUCUUCCCUUUUUCUUUUUCAUUGAACUCGCUUUGAUGCUUUUUCAUCUUUUCUUUUCUUUUUCUCAUGGAUUUUUCUUUCUCAACAAUCGAGCUCAAUGAUUUUCUCUUUUUCUUUCAAUUUUCCCCCAUACAACCCCAAACUUGAACAUUUCCAUUGCAUACAAUUAAGCUCAUCCCA
rnacentral:lncRNA from 1 species